rnacentral:tRNA from 1 species
GGGCCUGUAGCUCAGUGGUAGAGCAGCGGCCUUUUAAGCCGCGUGUCGAGGGUUCGAUCCCCUCCAGGCCCU